UACGAAGGGUGCAAGCGUUACUCGGAUUUACUGGGCGUAAAGGGCGCGCAGGCGGCUUUGUUUGUCAGGCGUGAAAGCCCCGGGCUUAACCUGGGAACUGCGUUUGAUACGGCAGGGCUAGAGUUCGGGAGAGGAGAGUGGAAUUCCCAGUGUAGAGGUGAAAUUCGUAGAUAUUGGGAAGAACACCGGUGGCGAAGGCGGCGACCUGGUCCAUUACUGACGCUGAGGCGCGACAGCGUGGGGAGCAACAGG
rnacentral:rRNA from 1 species